CACUCCUGCGGGAGGCAGCAGUGGGGAAUAUUGGACAAUGGGCGCAAGCCUGAUCCAGCCAUGCCGCGUGAGUGAUGAAGGCCCUAGGGUUGUAAAGCUCUUUCACCGGUGAAGAUAAUGACGGUAACCGGAGAAGAAGCCCCGGCUAACUUCGUGCCAGCAGCCGCGGUAAUACGAAGGGGGCUAGCGUUGUUCGGAUUUACUGGGCGUAAAGCGCACGUAGGCGGACUAUUAAGUCAGGGGUGAAAUCCCGGGGCUCAACCCCGGAACUGCCUUUGAUACUGGUAGUCUUGAGUUCGAGAGAGGUGAGUGGAAUUCCGAGUGUAGAGGUGAAAUUCGUAGAUAUUCGGAGGAACACCAGUGGCGAAGGCGGCUCACUGGCUCGAUACUGACGCUGAGGUGCGAAAGCGUGGGGAGCAAACAGGAUUAGAUACCCCUGUAGUCCC
rnacentral:rRNA from 1 species